rnacentral:sRNA from 1 species
UCCGUAGGUGAACCUGCGGAGGGAUCAUUACCGAGUUUACAACUCCCAAACCCCUGUGAACAUACCUAUCGUUGCUUCGGCGGAUCCGCCCCGGCGCCCUCGGGCCCGGAUCAGGCGCCCGCCGGAGACCCAAAACUCUUGUAUUUCUUUAGUAUCUUCUGAGUAAACAAGCAAAUAAAUUAAAACUUUCAACAACGGAUCUCUUGGUUCUGGCAUCGAUGAAGAACGCAGCGAAAUGCGAUAAGUAAUGUGAAUUGCAGAAUUCCGUGAAUCAUCGAAUCUUUGAACGCACAUUGCGCCCGCCAGUAUUCUGGCGGGCAUGCCUGUUCGAGCGUCAUUUCAACCCUCAAGCCCCCGGGCUUGGUGUUGGGGCUCGGCCCGUCCCUCGUGGCGCGCCGUCCCCGAAAUCCAGUGGCGGUCACGCUGUACUCCUCUGCGUAGUAAUCCAACCUCGCAACGGGACAAAGCCUGGCCACGCCGUUAAACCCCCCACUUCUGAAGGUUGACCUCGGAUCAGGUAGGAAUACCCGCUGAACUUAAGCAUAUCAAUAAGCGGAGGAAAAGAAACCAACAGGGAUUGCCCUAGUAACGGCGAGUGAAGCGGCAACAGCUCAAAUUUGAAAUCUGGCCCUCGGGUCCGAGUUGUAAUUUGUAGAGGAUGCUUUUGGUGAGGUACCUUCCGAGUUCCCUGGAACGGGACGCCAUAGAGGGUGAGAGCCCCGUCUGGUCGGAUACCAAUCCUCUGUAAAGCUCCUUCGACGAGUCGAGUAGUUUGGGAAUGCUGCUCUAAAUGGGAGGUAUAUGUCUUCUAAAGCUAAAUAUUGGCCAGAGACCGAUAGCGCACAAGUAGAGUGAUCGAAAGAUGAAAAGCACUUUGAAAAGAGGGUUAAACAGUACGUGAAAUUGUUGAAAGGGAAACGCUUGAAGU